rnacentral:rRNA from 1 species
UAUAAGUAUAUAAAGAAACUAUUAUGAAAUUAAUGCUAUGUGUCAAAGAGAAAAAUUUAUAGUAUAUAUAUAAGCUCUUAGGAAAAUCUGAUCCAAAACGAAGUGAAAUGAAAUAUCUUAGUAACUUCAGGAAAAAAAAUCAAAAGAGAUUCUGUGAUUAGCGUGAGUGAAAAUAGAAGAGCCUAAAAAGUAGAAUGGUCCAAAAAACUGUUUAAAUAGAAAGGGGAACCUUCCUCAAAGGCUAAAUAUGACACGUAAGCGAUAGUGAAAAGUACCGUGAGGGAACAAAAUAAAAAUAGUAGUUUUAUAAGCAGUUCGAUAAAAAGAACGUACCUUUUGCAUAAUGGGUCAUCAAGUUAACAUUAGACGCGAGCAUUGUGCGUAGUUAAACCGAACGUAAAAAUAACGUAAAAGUGUCUAAUGUUAGACCCGAAUAGCGGUGAUUUUACCACAGUCAGGAUUAUAAAAGUCCGAACGGGUGAUUGUUGCAUAAAUCUCCGAAGAACUGUGGUAGGUGUGGUGAAGAAAGACAACACUGACCGCCGUAGCUGGUUUUCUGCGAAACCUAUACUAGUAGGCAAUUUAAGUAAAAUCUUAGCAGGUACAGAAUUUAAUCUCGGACAAGACGUGUAAACGUUUUAUUUUGUACAAAUAGGGAGAUCUUAGCGAUUUUAUCUGUGAGUAUGUAUGCUCGGAACGGCAAAGAUAUAUCUUGAAUGAUCAGACAUAGAAUGAUAAGGUUGUAUGUCAAAAGGGAAACAGCCCAGAACAAUAAUUAAGGUUCCUAAAUUAUUAGUUAAGUGAAAUAAAGAGAGUUUUUAUUGAAGUCGACAAGGAGAUAGGCUUAGAAUCAGCCAUAAUUUAAUGAGUUCGUAACAGAGCGCUUGUUAAUCGAUAAUAGGCAUCUAAGAUUUAACGGAUCUAAACAAUAUACCGAAAUUUUGUCCAUAAUAUAUUGUAUUAAUAAUAUUUAAUAUAAUAUAAUGGGGUAGCAGAACGUUGAGUCUAAAAAGAAGGUUUUAUUUAUUAAAUAAAAUUUUGAAAUAACUCAAGUGAGAAUGGUGACAUGAGUAACUAAAAGAAAAGUUUUGGUUUUCCGCCUUAAGCUUAUGGUUAAAAUUAAGUAACGGCCUCUAAGUUUAUAUUAUCUAAAGAUUUAAACGAUGAGAAAAUCUUUUUACUAAAAAACAACAUUUAAGCGUAAAAUGUGCAGGAAAAAGUAGUAAAGUAAAUAACCGUACCUAGAAUCUGAAACAAGUAAGCAAGUAGAGAAUACGAAGGCGUAAAUGAGCUAACAAUCAUAAAGGAACUCGGCAAAAUGACUACUGUAACUUCGGGAGAAAGAGGGCUACAAAAAUAAAUACCGGUAGUUGAGCUACUAUGGGUUUAUACAAUAGGAAGAGACAUAGAAUAGUGCUGUACGACUGUUUAAUUAAAACACAGCACUUUGCUUAAGAUAAAAAAAAAUCUACGUAUAAAGUGUGAGAUCUGCCCAGUGCCGGCAGGUUAACAGAAAUAAUUUAGUAGUACUAAUACUAGAUAUUGAAGGACACCCCGGUUAAAGGCGGCCUUAACGUGAGGGUCCUAAGGUAGCAAAAUGCCUUGGCCGUUAAAUGCGGUCUUGCAUGAAUGGUGCAACGAUACAGCAGCUGUCUCUAUGAUUGGCUCAGUGAAAUUGGAAUAGCAGUGCAGAUACUGCUUACCUCUAGAUAGACGAGAAGACCCUAUGCAGCUUUACUGUUACUAUUUAUGGAGUAUGAUCGAAAAUUCACAGUUUAUAAUAAGGUAAUUGACAAUUUGCAAAUGAGAAUCCUUUAUUUAUCUUUCAUAUGAAUGAAUAAGAUUUAGUAUUAUAUUAAAUCAACCUAAUUCAACUUACUAUUAAAAGUAAGCGACCUUAGGUCAAGGGACUAUGACUAGUAGACAGUUUAUGUGGGGCACAGACCCUGUAAAGAGUAAACAGGAGUAUCUAAAAAAAAAAUAAUCAAAAAGAUUAUUUAGUUUGCAAUUAAAGGUAGUUUGACUAUUUAUAAUCAUAUUGUACUUAUGGCUUAGGCAUAUAAAUUAAGGUAGGAUUUUAACUAAGAGGGAAUUAGAGAUAAUAGAAAAUAUCGUAAACAAGGAUAUUUUCAUGCUAUAAAAAAAAAAUAGUUAUGUAUUGAAUAUCUAAAAAGCUUAACGGCUAAAUCUUGCCUGACUGUUUGAUUAUCUACACAUCUUACAGUUGCGUAAGCAGGGCAUAGGAUCACUAGAUGCAAUAAGGAAAGAUCUAGGAUUCUUGGAAAAGUUACGCUAGGGAUAACAGGCUAAUUUGCGCAAGAGUGUACAAAAUGAGUGCGCGGUUUGGCACCUCGAUGUCGGCUUAACUAAUCCUCAUGGAUGCAAGUACUAUGUAGGGUGCGACUGUUCGUCGCUUAAAAAGUUACACGAGCUGGGUAAAGUAUUUAGCCCCUAAAUAAUUAGCUAUCUGCUAGUUAAUUGCUAAGAAAAUCGGGAAAAUUUCAAGAAUUACUAAUAAUAGUAAACUUGAAGCGAAAUUUAUAUUAAUAGUAUAAAAACGUUCAACGGCUAUAAGGUGAGCGGCAUACUAGCUUUUAGUAAGAUAGCAAUAAUCCUUUUAACAACACCCGACGUAUAGUUAAAUUUAUAGUAUUUAAACCCAUUUUAGCCAAGCGCCGUAAAAUAUGAACAAAACAACUUUAAUAAGAUAUUUAAAUUCAGUUAUGAAAAACGAAUCUUUAACUGAAACAGAAAAAUUUAUAAGAACUUGAAAUGAACUACCUAUGUGGUUAUGAUAGGAUUAAUGUUGAGAGAUGGAUCUUUAGAAAGAUCUUCACCUACAAGUGGAGUUCGUCUUUCCAUAUUAAGAAGCAUGGUGAAUAUUUAAAGUUUCUAUAUAACUUCUAUAGGCCUUAUAUAAAUACAAAACCUGCUUGUAUUAAAGUUUAUAAUAAAAAGACAGAUGAGAGAUUAAAAUUUAAAACAAUAAGUUUACCUCCAUUAUUAUGAAUUGUUUUAUAUAGAAGGUAAGAAAAUAGUUCCAAGUAAUAUAGAAAAACUUAUGACACCUGUAGUAUUAGCCCAUGGGUGAUGGUAAUUUAAAACUUCCAGAUAAAAUCAUUAUACAAAUAGUUUUAGAUGUUGAAUUAUUAGCUUCAGGUAUAUCUAAUAAAUUAGAUAUAAAAACUAAAGUAGUUCAUGAUAGAAAUAAUCAAUAUAUUUUAGUAAAAAUGAAUUACAAAAAGUACAAAAUAUUAUUCAAGGUCAUAUGUAUCCUUCUAUGUUAUAUAAAAUAGAUUUAGCGGCCCUUGGGCCGAAAAAUCUUUCUCAUAGUUUUGUCUUUGGAGGCUCGGUUAAUAAUAUAUAUUUGUUCAAUAAAUCUGCUAUGGAGACGUAAGCUCUGUUUAAAUAAUAGUAGUAUAUACUAAGCUAAAUACUUUUAAUACUAAAAUGGCGCUAUACGGUGACAUAGUCUGAACCUUUUUGAAAAGAAUGGAAAAAAAGAAAUUUUGAUAACAAAUAGUAAAUACGUCGUGAGACAGUAUGGUUUCUAUCUUCUAGGGGGAAUUAGAAUAAAAUAAGAACAAACUUUUGUACGCAAGGAACAAGACGAUUUUAACUCAAAAGGUUAAAAAGGGGUUUAUUAACCAAUGGUAUCUCUGUUGUUUAUGUGUUAAAGUGUUUCUUUCACUAAGACAAAUACAUCAUAAGCACGGCAGAAAGGCUAAGUUAGUUAAAGAUAAGUGCUGAAAGCAUAUAGGCACGAAGCUUAUCUUAAGAUAUUUCUUAAAUAUACGUAAUAUACUAUUACGAAAAUAAAUAGGCUUUUAUCUGUAAUAAUCAGUAGAUUUUUAAGAAUAAAGUACUAAUUUAAUAAUACACUAUUUAUAUAUAUAUC